UACGGAGGGGGCUAGCGUUGUUCGGAAUUACUGGGCGUAAAGCGCACGUAGGCGGCUUUGUAAGUUAGAGGUGAAAGCCCGGGGCUCAACUCCGGAAUUGCCUUUAAGACUGCAUCGCUAGAAUUGUGGAGAGGUAAGUGGAAUUCCGAGUGUAGAGGUGAAAUUCGUAGAUAUUCGGAAGAACACCAGUGGCGAAGGCGACUUACUGGACGACUGUUGACACUGAGGUGCGAAAGCGUGGGGAGCAAACAGG
rnacentral:rRNA from 1 species